rnacentral:rRNA from 1 species
GAUGAACGCUGGCGGCGUGCCUAAUACAUGCAAGUCGAGCGAACGGACGAGAAGCUUGCUUCUCUGAUGUUAGCGGCGGACGGGUGAGUAACACGUGGAUAACCUACCUAUAAGACUGGGAUAACUUCGGGAAACCGGAGCUAAUACCGGAUAAUAUUUUGAACCGCAUGGUUCAAAAGUAAAAGACGGUCUUGCUGUCACUUAUAGAUGGAUCCGCGCUGCAUUAGCUAGUUGGUAAGGUAACGGCUUACCAAGGCAACGAUGCAUAGCCGACCUGAGAGGGUGAUCGGCAACACUGGAAAUGAGACACGGUCCAGACUCCUACGGGAGGCAGCAGUAGGGAAUCUUCCGCAAUGGGCGAAAGCCUGACGGAGCAACGCCGCGUGAGUGAUGAAGGUCUUCGGAUCGUAAAACUCUGUUAUUAGGGAAGAACAUAUGUGUAAGUAACUGUGCACAUCUUGACGGUACCUAAUCAGAAAGCCACGGCUAACUACGUG